CGGGCUUCUGUUGAGGAAUAAGCAGCAGGAGCUACUAAGCAUGGGUCAGGCUGGCAGAAUCUAGGAGGUUUACAGCUGACUUACUACAGAUGAAGUGUCAGGGAAGAAAAUGUGCAGGUAUUUGCUGUGGCCAAGUCUGCUUUAUCGUCAACACAAGAUGAGGAAGCCAUGCGGUUCCAGGCCUGAGACGGGAAAGAGGAGG